UUUCCGUAGGUGAACCUGCGGAAGGAUCAUUAUUGAAUUCUAAAUGUAAAGGAUUCGUGCUGUUUGCGCCUUCACCAGCUGCACGCCCGGUCCGAUACAUUUACACCUGUGCACCUUUUACACGCAUAUAGUCUGGUCCUUUCACACACACCCUAAAAUCUUCGAAUGUUUAUUAUAAAAAUUAUGAAAACUUUCAACAACGGAUCUCUUGGCUCUC
rnacentral:misc_RNA from 1 species